CUACCUAAGAACAAAACCCCUGGACCAGAUGGCUUCACCGCUGAAUUUUACCAAACAUUUAGUGAAGACCUAAUACCCAUCCUCCUUAAAGUUUUCCAAAGAGUAGAAGAAAGAAUACUUCCAAACUUAUUCUAUAAGGCCAGAAUCACUCUAAUACCAAAACCAGGCAAAGACACCACAAAAAAAGAAAAUUACAGACCAAUAUCCCUGAUGAACAUAGAUGCAAAAAUACUCCACAAAAUAUUAGCAAACCAAAUUCAAAAAUACAUCAAAAAGAUCAUCCAUCAUGAUCAGGUAGGAUUUAUUCCAGGAAUGCAAGGAUGGUACAACAUUUGAAAAUCCAUCAACAUCAUCCACCGCAUAAACAAAAAGGACAAAAACCACAUGAUCAUCUCCAUAGAUGCUGAAAAAGCAUUUGACAAAAUUCAACAUCCAUUCAUGAUAAAAACUCUCAACAAAAUGGGUAUAGAGGGCAAGUACCUCAAAACAAUAAAGUCCAUAUAUGACAAACCCACAGCCAACAUUAUACUUAACACCAAGAAGCUGAAAGCAUUUCCUCUGAGAUCGGGAACAAGACAAUGAUGCCCACUCUCCCCACUUCUAUUCAACAUAGUACUGGAGGUCCUAGCCAUCGCAAUCAGAAAACACAAAGAAAUAAAAGGCAUCCAGAUUGGCAAGGAAGAAGUUAAACUGUCCCUGUUUGCAGAUGACAUGAUAUUGUAUAUGAAAAACCCUAAGGACUCCACUCCAAAACUACUAGAUCUAAUAUCUGAAUUCAGCGAAGUUGCAGGAUACAAAAUUAAUACACAGAAAUCUGUGACAUUUCUAUACACUAACAAUGAACUAGCAGAGAGAAAUCAGGAAAACAAUUCCAUUCACAGUUGCAUCAAAAAGAAUAAAAUACCUAGGAAUAAACCUAACCAAGGAAGUGAAAGACCUAUACUCUGAAAACUACAAGACACUCAUGAGAGAAAUUAAAGAGGAUACCAAUAAAUGGAAACACAUCCCGUGCUCAUGGAUAGGAAGAAUUAAUAUUGUCAAAAUAGCCAUCCUGCCUAAAGCAAUCUACAGAUUCAAUGCAAUCCCUAUCAAAAUACCAACAGCAUUCUUCAAUGGACUGGAACAAAUAGUUCUUAAAUUCAUAUGGAACCACAAAAGACCCGGAAUAGCCAAAGCAAUCCUGAGAAGGAAGAAUAAAGCAGGGGGGAUCUCGUUUCCCAAGUUCAAGCUCUACUACAAAGCCACAGUAAUCAAGACAAUUUGGUACUGGCACAAGAACAGACCCACAGACCAGUGGAACAGAAUAGAGAGUCCAAAAUAUUAACCCAAACAGAUAUGGUCAAUUAAUAUACAAUAAAGGAGCCAUGGACAUACAAUGGGAAAAUGACAGCCUCUUUAACAUCUGGUGUUGGCAAAACUGGACAGCUACAUGUAGAGAAUUAAAUUGGAUUAUUUUUUAACUCCAUACACAAAAGCAAACUCAAAAUGGAUUAAAGACUUGAAUGUAAGUCAUGAAACCAUAAAACUCUUAGAAGACAACACAGGCAAAAAUCUCCUGAAUAUAAGCAUGAGCAACUUCUUCCUGAACGCAUCUCCUGGAGCAAGGGAAACAAAAGCAAAAAUGAACUCAUGGGACUACAUCAGACUAAAAAGUUUCUGUAUGGCAAAGGACACCAUCAACAGAACAAAAAGGCAUCCUACAGUAUGGGAGAAUAUAUUUGUAAAUGACAUAUGCGACAAGGGGUUAACAUCCAAAAUAUAUUAAGAACUCACACACCUCAACACCCAAAAAGCAAAUAACCCGAUUAAAAAAUGGGCAGAGGAUAUGAAGAGACAGUUCUCCAAAGAAGAAAUUCAGAUGGCCAACAGACAUGAAAAAAUGCUCCACAUCACUAAUCAUCAGAGAAAUGCAAAUUAAAACCACAAUGAGAUUUCACCUCACACCAGUAAGGAUGGCCAGCAUCAAAAAGAC